rnacentral:lncRNA from 1 species
UUUAUACCAUAUUUAGGGCCUCGUAUUUAGAUCUCGUACAAAUACUCAGGGGACUUAAAUGUAAUUAUGGGAUAAAGGAAGGGGCAAAUAUGUAAUAAGUGAGGAGUCCUUAUUCUAUAAAAGGACCCCUCACCCUCACAAUUGAGGAGAGGCCAAUUCCUAGGCCUGAGAUCCCCUCUCUCACCCUCAGAAACUCUCAGAAGCUCUCACCCUCUCCCUCUUUAUUCCCUCAAAUAAAUACAUAAUCAGUGUGGACGUAGCCCAAACCUUGGGGUGAACCACGAUAACUCUUGUGUCAUUUACAUUUCAUGCAGAUUCACGGUCGGAUUUACGUUGUUCCAAGACCUCCGGUUUUGUGCAUCAACAUUUGGCGCCGUCUGUGGGAAUCGACACGAAAAGCUAUGUCGGUUCUCUUUCAAUUUUUCACCUCCGACGUGAAACUGCAAAAACCAAACGGAACCCAAAGCUUUCCCAGAAAACCCAACGAUUCAUUCUCUCUCUCUACAAACAGCCUCCUCACCAAACACCUUCUUUCUCUCUCUAGAAAUUCCAGUUCUCUUCAGACAGUAAGAGAGAAGAAAGAAGAAGAGGGGAGAGAGACAACAACAAUGUCUCUCCCCCCAACGACCAUAAAAUUUUCAGAUCUCUGUACCCUCGAUGGCUCGCUACAUUUUCCCGAGAAAAUAGGAAACCCUCAAAAACAUUUUAUCGAGAAAAUAUGUCCGACGCUUUGAUCAAUGGACUCGCCGGAGCUGGCGGCGGGAUCAUCGCCCAACUCAUCACCUAUCCUCUUCACACUGUGAAUGCUCGUCAACAAACAGACCGUGAUCGGAAGAAGGAGAAGAAGAAGCUCGGAACUGUGGAGCAAAUAUGUCAGGUUAUAAAAAAUGAAGGAUGGGAACGGUUGUAUGAAGCUUUGACGUCAUCGUUGGUGGGCAUGGCAGCAGCUCAGCUGCAAGUCUACAACUCUCAGCUCCCUCUCAUGGCGGCCAAGGCCACGCCUUACUAAGAUCAACGAAGUCAACUCUCUUCGCCAGGGCCCCACUCAACUUCUCAUUCUCCACCUUUGGAAAAGAAACGUUCUCUCGGAAAAACCUCGUGGUGUAUGCUCAGAAGCUGUCGGGGUUGGAGGAGGCCAUGAGAAUCAAAAGGUAUGCGCCGCUCCUGUUUGUUCCAACCAUGUUGUUGGUACCAUAUAUUCCUCACCGCCUCUACACGUAACCCACCACGAGCAGAGGCAGCUGCAGCCAUGGAGGCUGAGCCAGCAUUCAUUAGGAACCAACAAGAAGAGAGAGGUGGUGAUGAGCUCCCUCCACAAGUCUCUUGUUAGUACAUCGUCGUAUCUGGUACCACUCUUACUAGAACCACCGCGGCAACUGAACGCAUCUAGCAGCAGACUUUUGCGAAAACACAAGGCAAGUGACUUUUGCGAAACGGCAGGCAGGGCUGAUCAAGAAAACUCAUGAGCUUUCUGUGCUAUGUGAUGCCCAGAUCGGCCUUGUCAUUUUCUCAAGCACUGGCAAGAUGUUUCGGUACUGCAGUGAGUCAUCAAGUGUUCUUAUACAUGGUGCUCGACAAUAAUAACAAAGAGUUGCAGAUGCCACCAACGCCAUCCAUGCCACCGUUGCCGGACCUACCAGCCACCUUCAGCUGAUCGCCGAGCCCGGCCUCAACCUCCUCGGCUGCUGCAACGAGCUCAACGCCGGUUAUGCUGCUAAAGGCUACGGGCGCGCCAGGAGGAUUGGAGAGAACGUCGUUGCGUUCACUGUCGGCAGGCUCAAGUGUGCUGAACGCGAUCGUCGUUGUGUGCAGCGAGAACUUGCCAGUCAUCUGCAUAAUAGGUGGGAUGAACUCCAACGAUUACGGCACGAGCCGAAUCCUUCACCACACGAUCGGGUUGCCCGAUUUCACUCAAGAGCUUCAGUGCUUCCAAACCGUCACCUGUCACCUUAGUAAGAGAUUGAGGGUGGUACUGCAAACUAUCGAUCAUGGCGACUCGGAGGGUCGGCUCGCUUUUGAAUCGUUCCUUCACUUCUGCUUCUACGUUUUCCGAAGAGAUUUCAGAGCCUGCUGCUCUCUAAGUUAGGUCAUUUGGUAAUUUUAUGUUAAGUGGAAGGGCAAACGACUAAUGAGGAGCCUAGAAAUUGGCUCUGCUUUUGAUUCUGGCAUUUACUAGUGCUGCUCAGUAUGAUGGAGAAGGGAAUAAACUUUUUGAUCCAAGACCUCACACUGUGUCACUCUUGGAGUUUGGAGCAGUUGAAGACGGGACCCAAGGUGAUGGGACCCUGCCAAGAAGUAAGAUGCUGAUGGAGAUACCAAGAAAAGCAAAAGAUGAGAUCACUGUCUGCUGCCAAUGAUGAAAGUAGAGAUAUAGAUAAGCUGUCUUAUAACAAUAUCAUUAUUGUUCCACUUUGGCGUUUGCCACUUGCCAAAAGAGAAAAGAGAAAGAACAGGAGUGGGAGAAAGCAAAAUAAAAAAUAAGAUGCAGUGGGAGCAAAAGUAGAAAAGAAAAAGGAAAAGGAGGAAAGGGUCUGAAGAAGUUUGUGGAGAUGGCAUGCGCCAAUUGCACACCAGUGAAGCAAUCCAGCCAUCAUGUCACUAAGAAAGCAAAAGUAGAAAAGAAAAAGAAAAAUGGAGGCUCUCCUCGAGAGCACAUGGGGACAACGCAAAAGAAAAAGAAAAAAUGAGAUCUUACUAAAGCCAAAGAAGAUGCUCACACUUUCAUCAUGCAUGUUCCUAUUUUCUGAGAAAGCUACGGAAAGACCUAGAAGGAAGAUAAAGGUUUCCUUACAUUAAAGUGAUGUAAUUUAUUUUUCUUAUCUUUCGAAGACAUCUGUAUGAACCCCAUCAGAGGGUUAAAAAAAAAAAAAAAAAAAAAAAAAAAAAAAAGAAAAGCCCAAAAUAAAUGGGCUGGCAUGUUGUGGAGAGCGAAGGCCCAUAAGCCCAAAAUAGCACCAACCAAGUGAUCAAAAGUACGCCUAGUACUCCAAAUUAUACAUGAGCAUUACUCAUGUCAUUCAUACAUAAACAUUCAUGAGCAUCACUCAUGACAAUCAUACAUAAACAUUCAUGACCAUUAUUCAUGUCAACAUUCAUGAGCAUCACUCAUGUUAACAUUCAUGAGCAUCACUCAUGACAACAUCCAUGAGCAUCACUCAUGUCACUCAACAUAAACAUUCAUGAGCAUCACUCAUGUCAAUCAGCUUCAAAAGCUUCAUUUACAAAAACUCCAGCUUCAAAGACUUCAUUUACAGAGCUCUAGCUUCAAAAGCUUCAUUUACAAGAACUCUAGCUUCAAAGACUUCAUUUACGGAGCUCUAGCUUCAAAGCUUCACUUGCAAAGCUUCACUUACAAAGCUUCAGUGCAGGGUAUACAAAUACCACAUCCGAACAACCGCCACUUCGGCCCAUACAUGGAUUCAAUUUGAAGUCUUCAGCCAACAGACUCUAUUGACCGAAGACUUGGGGGACUACAUUAUGUACCAUAUAUUGGGCCUCAACUGGGCCUCAUGAAAAAUACUUGGGGGACUCUAGCCCAUUAUCUAUGUAUUAAGGAGCGAACCCUUAUUCUAUAAAAGGGACUCCCUCACUUUCAUUGAAAGAUCACCCAUGAUUUAUGUAUUGAGGAGCGAGCCCUUAUUCUAUAAAAGGGACUCCCUCACCUUCAUUAGAGAGAAACGCCGCCAGCUGAGCAACCGCCUCGCCGCGAGCAUCAACUCUAGCCCAUCAUUUAUGUAUUGAGGAACGAGCCCUUAUUCUAUAAAAGGGACUCCCUCACCUUUAACACCACAAGCCGAGCCAACCAAGGCAAUAUAAGCCACAAGCAGAGCGGCCUCGCAACAGGUGCUACUUCUAGUUGAGCAUCAUUUCAGAUUGGGCACCGCCUCAUAUCAAGCACCAGUUCAAGACGACAUCUAGUUACUUCGGCCCACACAUGGACUGAAUUUCAAGUCUCCAGCCAAAAGACUCUCUUGACUGAAGACUUGGGGGACUACUGUUUAUACCAUAUUUAGGGCCUCGUAUUUAGAUCUCGUACAAAUACUCAGGGGACUUAAAUGUAAUUAUGGGAUAAAGGAAGGGGCAAAUAUGUAAUAGGUGAGGAGUCCUUAUUCUAUAAAAGGACCCCUCACCCUCACAAUUGUGGAGAGGCCAAUUCCUAGGCCUGAGAUCCCCUCUCUCACCCUCAGAAACUCUCAGAAGCUCUCACCCUCUCCCUCUUUAUUCCCUCAAAUAAAUACAUAAUCAGUGUGGACGUAGCCCAAACCUUGGGGUGAACCACGAUAACUCUUGUGUCAUUUACAUUUCAUGCAGAUUCACGGUCGGAUUUACGUUGUUCCAAGACCUCCGGUUUUGUGCAUCAACACUGUUGAUAUAUUUUUAAGUUCACAUUGAUACGUGAUAUAAUGUUCUGGAAACAAUAUAGGUGUUGCAUCGAGGGGUUAUAACGUUUUAGAAUGCUUCUAUUAAGAAUUUUAUUUCUAGGGCCACUCACCCUUGUUUUGUUUUCACCCUCCAGGUUUUAUUAGCUGAGCUUUCUUAUCGUCGAGGAUUCGUGGCAAAUCUUAGUAUUGGAGAUUUCUUUCGAGGGUAUGAUUCUUAAUCCACUCUACUGUACUUACUUAUACUUUAAGAGCAAGUCCACCCCUAAAGACUUUGUGCCAACACCUAGCCCAUUUAUCCAAUUUAGUGAACAAUAAUAUACUCCAAUGAAUAGUAAUAGGCCAAUGCAUCUCCACCCCUAAGAGCAAGUCCACCCCUAAGGACUUUGUGCCAGCACCCAGUGCAUUUAUCCACUCAAGUGAACAGUAAUAGACCCCAGUGAACAGUAAUAGACCAAAGCAUCUCCACCCCUAAGACCAUCUCCAACCCUGGGCUAAAAGCCAAAUUACCCCCCAAAUUACCCCCCCAAACACUCUCCAACCCAU